rnacentral:rRNA from 1 species
AGAGUUUGAUCAUGGCUCAGAUUGAACGCUGGUGGCAUGCUUAACACAUGCAAGUCGAACGGUAACAGGUCUUCGGAUGCUGACGAGUGGCGGACGGGUGAGUAACGCGUAGGAAUCUGCCCAUCUGUGGGGGAUACCAGUUGGAAACGACUGUUAAUACCGCAUAAUAUCUGCGGAUUAAAGGUGGCCUUUGCGCUGCCGCAGAUGGAUGAGCCUGCGUUGGAUUAGCUAGUUGGUGGGGUAAGGGCCUACCAAGGCUACGAUCCAUAGCUGAUUUGAGAGGAUGAUCAACCACAUUGGGACUGAGACACGGCCCAAACUCCUACGGGAGGCAGCAGUGGGGAAUAUUGGACAAUGGGGGAAACCCUGAUCCAGCAAUGCCAUGUGUGUGAAGAAGGCUCUAGGGUUGUAAAGCACUUUAGUUGGGGAGGAAAGCCUGUGAGUUAAUAACUUGCAGGAAGGACGUUGCCCAAAGAAUAAGGACCGGCUAACUCCGUGCCAGCAGCCGCGGUAAUACGGGGGGUCCGAGCGUUAAUCGGAAUUACUGGGCGUAAAGGGUCUGUAGGUGGUUUGUUAAGUCAGAUGUGAAAGCCCAGGGCUCAACCUUGGAACUGCAUUUGAUACUGACAAACUAGAGUAUGGUAGAGGAAUAGGGAACUUCUGGUGUAGCGGUGAAAUGCGUAGAGAUCAGAAGGAACACCAAUGGCGAAGGCAACAUUCUGGACCAAUACUGACACUGAGGGACGAAAGCGUGGGGAUCAAACAGGAUUAGAUACCCUGGUAGUCCACGCUGUAAACGAUGAGUACUAGCUGUUGGAUUCGGUGUAAAGGAUCUAGUGGCGCAGCUAACGCGUUAAGUACUCCGCCUGGGGACUACGGCCGCAAGGCUAAAACUCAAAGGAAUUGACGGGGACCCGCACAAGCGGUGGAGCAUGUGGUUUAAUUCGAUGCAACGCGAAGAACCUUACCUGGUCUUGACAUCCUGCGAACUUUCUAGAGAUAGAUUGGUGCCUUCGGGAACGCAGUGACAGGUGCUGCACGGCUGUCGUCAGCUCGUGUUGUGAAAUGUUGGGUUAAGUCCCGCAACGAGCGCAACCCCUAUUGAUAGUUACCAUCAUUAAGUUGGGUACUCUAUUGAGACUGCCGCUGACAAGGCGGAGGAAGGUGGGGACGACGUCAAGUCAUCAUGGCCCUUACGACCAGGGCUACACACGUGCUACAAUGGGUAUUACAGAGGGCUGCGAAGGUGCGAGCUGGAGCGAAACUCAGAAAGGUACUCUUAGUCCGGAUUGCAGUCUGCAACUCGACUGCAUGAAGUCGGAAUCGCUAGUAAUCGCAGGUCAGAAUACUGCGGUGAAUACGUUCCCGGGUCUUGUACACACCGCCCGUCACACCAUGGGAGUGGGUUGCUCCAGAAGUAGAUAGCUUAACGAAUGGGCGUUUACCACGGAGUGAUUCAUAACUGGGGUGAAGUCGUAACAAGGUAGCCGUAGGGGAACCUGCGGCUGGAUCACCUCCUU